GGAGUUAGCCGGUGCUUCUUCUGUGAGUGAUGUCCUUCCUGCCGGCUAUUAACCCGCAGGCCUUCUUCCUCACUGAAAGUGCUUUACAACCCGAAGGCCUUCUUCACACACGCGGCAUGGCUGGAUCAGGGUUGCCCCCAUUGUCCAAUAUUCCCCACUGCUGCCUCCCGUAGGAGUCUGGGCCGUGUCUCAGUCCCAGUGUGGCUGAUCAUCCUCUCAGACCAGCUACGGAUCGUCGCCUUGGUGAGCCGUUACCUCACCAACCAGCUAAUCCGACAUAGGCUCAUCCGAUAGCGCGAGGCCCGAAGGUCCCCCGCUUUCCCCCGUAGGGCGUAUGCGGUAUUAGCCUGGGUUUCCCCACGGUUAUCCCCACUACCGGGCAGAUUCCUAUGCAUUACUCACCCGUCCGCCGCUCGCCACCAGGGAGCAAAGCUCCCCGUGCUGCCGCUCGACUUGCAUGUGUUAGGCCUGCCGCCAGCGUUCAAUCUGAGCCAGAAUACGAACCCUACGA
rnacentral:rRNA from 1 species